UUGAACUCAGGACCUUGAACUUGUGAGGCAAGCAUGGCACCACUGAGCUAAAUCCCCGGCCUGUGUACUGAUUCUUUCUCAAUGUAUACCCUAAAGGCUCGCAUGUGGUGAAUAGCUUUCCUCUGCCAUGCUAUUUCUGCCUUCUGCCUUAGAGCCAGACUAUACACAGGCUGGCUCGAGGAGGCUGGGACCCAGUUUCCCUCCCACAAGAAAGGAGCGAAUGAACUGAAAAUGGCUGGAAGGAUACAGCAGAGUAUCUCCAUGUAGUCCAGGUUGGCUGCCAACUUGUGGACUUCCAACCUCCAGAACAGUGAAAAUAAAUGCUUCUACAUCCAUCCAGUGAUUGUCACCUGAGGCAACAAAAACCAUGACCCACCUGGUGUAAGGUAGGAAAAUGAAUCCUAUACCCUCCCUUAGGCUGCAGCAGUUAAAUUCUUUUU